AGCUCCAGCAGCGUAUAUUUAUAUUGCUGCGUUUAAAAAGCUCGUAGUUGAAGCGUCAGACGCGGGAGGGCGGACGGCCGUAAUGGUCGCUCACGCCCGACCGAGCCAGGCGCAGAGGGCGCGCGUCGCUUGCACUUUACCGUGUGAGCGCGCCGCCGCUGCACGUUCACCUUGAAGAAAUUGAACCGCUUAGAGGGGGCGAGCAGCUUGGACAGCUCAGCAUGGUAUGAUGGAACAUGGGCUCGUACUCAUUUUGUUGGUUAGAGAGUCGGCGAGCCAAUGAUUAACAGGGACUGCCGGGGGCAUUCGUACUCGGACGGGAGAGGUGAAAUUCAAGGAUCGUCCGAAGACGCCCUACUGCGAAAGCAUUUGCCAAGAAUGUUUUCAUUAAUCAAGAACG
rnacentral:rRNA from 1 species